rnacentral:snoRNA from 1 species
AUCCCAUGAUAUGGACACUUUUGCAACAUAUUCUUGAACUUAUUAUAGGCUUCAUCAAAAUUCUCUAAGUUGCCUUGAUGGAAGACAGAAAUGUCAUGCUUGAGCUU